UAAGCUGCCUGAUCUACAGACAUGAAAC
rnacentral:piRNA from 1 species